GGCUCUUGUCCUGGUUUCAGCUGGGACAGAGUUGGUCUUCAUAGCAUAUGGUUUGAUGCUAUGUUUUGGCUUUAGGAGAAAAACAACAUUGCUAACACAUUGAUAUUUUAGUUGUUGCUGAGCAGUGCUGUAGAGAGACAAGGAUAUUUCAGUUUUUCAGCUUCUAGUACUGUUCUGCCAGCAUGGGGACCUGCGGAGCAUGAGGAGCUCAGAAGGGACAGAACCAGGACAGCUAGCUUACACUGGCCAAAAGGAUAUUCCAUAUUAUAUGACAUCAUACGAAAAAGAACUUCAAAAAUGGUGGGGACUUGGCUGGGGGAGCAGCUGCUGCUUGUAGACUGGCUGGACAUCAGUCCACAAGUGACCCCCUUUAAAGGCCACCAUCAGGUCUCCCUGGAGCCUUCUCUUCUCCAGACUGAUCAGCCCCAGCUUUCUCAGCCUCUCCUUGUAGGGAGGUGUUUCAUCUGGAUCAUUUUUUGGCUCUCUCCUGGAUGCUCUCCAACAGGUCCACAUCUCUCAUGUACUGAAGACUCCACAUCUUGACGUAGUUCUCCAGGUGAGGUCUCAUCAGCACAGAGCAGAGGGGCAGGAUCACCUCUUUCACCCUGCUAGCCAUGCUUCUUUUGAUGCAGCCCAGGAUAUGGUCGGCUUUCUGGGCUGCGAGAGCACAGUGUUGGCUCAUGUCCAUCUUGCCAUCCACCAGUAUCCCCAUGCCCUUUUCAACAGGCCUGUGCUCAAUCUUUUCAUCCUCCAGCUUGUAUUGAUAGUAUUGGUCACCCUGACCCAGAUGCAAGACCUUGCACUUGGCUUUGUUGAACCUCACGAGGCUCUCCUGGGCCCACUGAUCAGUCUGCGUAGGUCCUUCUGGAUGGUAUCGUGUCCCUCAGGUGUGUUGGCUGCACCACACAGAUUGGUAUCAAAAUAUUAGCUGUGAAAUCAUUUGGGCAUCUAUAAACUCAAAUGGUUUGGUAAAGGAUUGCCACCUCACUCUUCUAAGCAAUAAGGGCAAGCUUACUGCUGCACAGAAAGACAGAAAAAUAUCUGUGCAGCACUUAUGUCCCAUGGAAGGUCUCCAAAUUGGAUUUUACAUGAAGGUAUCUGUUAUAAAGACUCUGGAACAGAAUUCAGCAUGGAUGACUUUCCACUACACCCACAUAAACAAUACUAUUUUGCACAGAUACAAUGAGUAGAAGAAUAGUGCCUAAAAAAACAGUCAACUCUUCAAUACUUUUUAAAUUUGAAACAAAUGUGUAAAUUGUUUGGGAGGAAACAAAAGAAAUGGACCAAAACUUAUUUCACUCACUAGAAAUCAUGAACUACAAAUAUUCAUGUAUCACCCAAGAAAGUUUAUUUUUUCAGUGAGAAAGGGGAAAAAAAAAACAAAACAGUAGGCAACAUUUUAGGUUGCUUUCUCUCAUACACCUUCAAAGUCUGCAGGGUGGAAUCCUGAACACUGGUUGGUAGACUACAGUGAAAUGGCAGCCUUUGGGGAACCAACAGCACCCACAUCCAGUUAAUGUUAUUGUGUGAUCUAUUUCAUGGUUUGGAAUUAAUAGCAAUUGGGGCAUGGAAAAAAAAAGCUAAAGCCUGAAGUGGUUUUUCAAAUUCAUAAGGAAGUGUUUUUCUUUGAAUAAUAAUGUUAUUAUAAAGCUAUGAUUUUUUUUUUUUCUAUUUGAAAUAAACCCUUUAUUUUCUUUCAAAUUUCUGUUACUUGUGGCCAGAGGCUGUCUGGUACUCUCAUCUUGUGGGAUAUUGCUGGCUGGAAGCAAUAUCGUUUCUGUAAUUACCACUUUCACUAAAAUAGUUCUGGGCACUCCAGAAAUACCUUCAAGUAUUUGGUCAUGGGCAUUAAAAGCUAGAGGGACAGCUAAUAGCUCAUGGUUGUUCCUAAAUGGUAGAAAAGAGUAAGCUCAUUUGAGAACAACUUUCAAACAUCUCAGUAUGUCUCAGUUUUCCAGAACCAAGUGAAUUUGUCCUCUUGCCUGGGCAUAAUACAGAAUGGUGCUGACCUUUACUCCUUUGUAAAUUUGUAUGAUGAGAAUCAAAAACAGACAGGUGAAGAUUGCUAUUCCCUACUUUCCACCACAAAACUCUGCCUGGGGAGAGUCCUCAGGCUUUUUGUUCCUGAAUGAAGUUCCUUGCAUGCCACUCCUCCUCGCAGCUGUCUAAAGGUGAGGACUCCAGCCCCACAAGAAGAUUUUUGUCACAUUCCUGGAGAGGGGUGGAUACCUUCAGAGGGAGAUUUGGGCACCCUAAGGUGAGUAGUCAAGGCAAGUGGAUGAUUCUCAGGAAAUAACACAAAAGCCCAAUCUUCGCAAGAGAAACUAUUUUGAAUCAUGUGAUCCAGGUAUUAUCUAUGGCAAAGACUGCAUCCUCCAGAUUCUCAGUCUUUGAAAUUGCUUAUUCUGACACUUUAUCACAAAAUGUGGCCAAAAUUCAAGAUUGGGAAGCUUGCUCUUGGCUUCAGUAUCAUACAGAUUCAAUUACAUUUUUUUUCCACACUAAGCUGUAUCUCAAUAUGAUUUCCUUCAAUUAUGUAUUUCAAAUAAAUUGUUCUGUGUCCUCUGCAUCAUUCUUAGUCACCUUGACUGUCCCAGGAGAUACGUCCAAGAGUAAGAGGCAGUGCUGGACACACUCACAUGCACAUUGGCCAGCUGUAGACACUGGCCACUUCAUUAGCUGGAUGAUGUCAAACAGAGCUGUGUAGGGUGAGUCUUCUUUGCUUUCCCACAAGAGGACAUGCAAGUUUGGGUUCCUCUUUCCUUCUCACAUGCUGAUUUUCAUUAAGUCUAUGGAAAUGCAAUUAUCUUUGAGGCUCCCAUCCCCUUUCAAUUUUGGUGGAAAUAAGCUUAACAGUUACUGGAAAGGCUAAACAGAUAGGCAGAUAUCAGCAGACACAAUUCACACAUCCCUACUAAACCACACUAAAAAGACCUAUUUGCCAUUUACUGAACACCAGGAAAGAGCAUAACACUGGAAAACAGAGAGAAGAAACCACAGCAACCACCGAAGAGCUUCACACUUACAGCUGGAACGCUCAUAGCAGCCACUUCCCAGAGAUGAUUCAGGUCUCAGGGUCCUGACCAGCACAAAGAACAGCAGUGGAGACAGAGGAAGAUCAUGUGGUAACAACAAAAGCAUUAAAGACUGAAAGUCCUUCAGCUGGAUCCUUAAGACAAAUCUGGAAAUCUUGACUUUUUGCUGAUGAAUGGAGCCAAUGGUAGAAAUGCUUACUAUUAGAAAUAACAAUAAUUCUUUGCUGAAGUGGUGACCCUGUAGCCUUACAUUAUUAGGAUGGUGGACACUGAUGAGAUAAGCAGUGGGUCACUUCUGUUUUGCUCUAGACACAUUUGGCCACCAUCAGCAAUAGAUGUAUAAGGACUGGCAUUCAGCCAUAUAUUUCUCAAGCAAGAUGCUUGAAAUUAUCCCUGUUUUAAACAGGAGAUAUUUCUUCAUUGGAUAAAAGAAAUCACUGUUCACCUGGGUAUUUCCUUAAGGUCAGUGUAUGGCCAUUUUCCAUCUCUGGUUUUGAGGAUCAGCCCUGGGAAUAGUCAGCAGAUAUGAGUCUCCUUCCAGCCAUCUCCUAGCUGCACAUAGUACAUAAAAUGUGUGUCACAAGCAAAAGUAUAUUUCCUAAUUCCAGCCUUGCUGGAUCCAAAAAGAAGACAUAAAUAUUUUGACAGUUCUAAUCUGUAAAUGUGUGUCUUUUUGUCUUUGUCUCAAGAAAAGGCCACCCUCUCAUGAAGUUUGCAAAUUCUUGUUUUCCAUGAUUGCAGGAAACACUGACAUCUUCCCAAGCACAGCAUUUUGGGUGUCUCAAUUUUUCAGGCUGUUGACCAGCAGUGUUCUUCUGCAGUUGUUCAUUUAAGAGCCCUUCAUCUUGCAAAUCAUGUUCAGGAAGCUUAAUUCAAGUCCUUCCUUGCCUAAAGUGGUAAUGUAACAAUUAACCAAUCAGUAUUAAUUUCUAGAUGGUGCCAAGGCACGAAAGGAAAUAGUGGGGAAGUGCAUGCCAUGAAUCAAGACUGUGCAUCUCAUUCUUUGAGAUGAUGUUCAGCAAAGGGCAACUAAGAGAUUAAUAAAAAAGGCUAAGAGCACAUUUUUUCUCCUAGUUGGAAGUAUUCAUUGCUCUUUAAAGAAUAAUAACAACAAUAAUAAACAUUCAGCAUUCUGCAUGAAAUUGCAUAGGUGCCACAGAGGUCUGAUUUGCUUCUCCUAUAACCUGUUCAUUAUUAAAUCCUUAAACAGGAUGUAAUUAGGACUAGAUCUCACAGGACUAGAAGAUAUUCUAACAGGAAUAUGCUUUUAUAUAUAUAUAUAUAUGCGUAUAUAUAUAUAUAUAUAUUUCAUCUGUAACUACCACGAGAGAUGUCAAUGUCCAUCAGGGAAAUCAAGGAAACGUCGUGUAACUUGGAGAGGACUACAUGUGAUAACACUGAAGAAUGAUCAGAGAGUAAACUGUGAAACCACUAUGGUGUCUGUUGAGGAAAACCUACAAGCUGUCAAGAAAGCUCUGGACGUUUUGUGAUACAAUCUAUCAAUUAUCCCAGCUGAAUGCCGGUGUUUAUAGAGGGCAUUUUUUGUUGUUGUUGUAAUUCCAUGCCAUCUCAGGCUUACAGUAAGCCACCUGGCCAGCAUGAAUGUGCAGGUUAAUUUCAGGAUCAUAUAUUAUUCUGUAUAAUAAAAACAAGUUGUCUGGUUGUUUUUAGUGAAUUUGUCUAAGCCCGUUCCCAUGGGCUCCCCACCUCCCAGGGAGAAGUUGUAGUCUGCUCUGUUUCAUCAUCGCUUUUGUGGCAUUUCCUACCGAGAUGAGUGGCACCGAGACAGUUUCCAGACGUGGUUAUUUGUUCUCUUUGACCUGAGUGACUGCUGUUUUCUAAGCCGUUUGCAGUGUCAGUCCUAUGAUUUGACACUUAGACUUCUCCAGUUGGGGAUUAAAAUGCUGCAUCUUUCUUUCAGGCUCCUUAUUAAUUUUCUGGAGGCACUUACAAUGAAACUAUUCCAAGGGUCUUUUCAUUCAAAUGCCUUCCUGCUGCAAAUCAGACCAGUUUCACCUAUUUCACAUAACUCUAUGGGCUACUUUACAACAAGCUAAAAACCUUCCAGGUUUUCCAGACCUCCAGCCCCAAUUAUGUACAAAGUGCUUAACAAUAAUCACUACUUUAGGUUUGUCUUUCCCCCCAAUACCUAAGGAAGAAUUUACAG